CCUCGCCGACGCGCCGCCAACACAUCCUCUUCCUUGCUCUCGCUCGGAUGACCGUUGACCUCGCGCCUAGGUCUUGGAACAAUCACUGCGCUCGCGCUCCUCACUCUCGGAUCGGUCGACACGUUGUGCCGCCACAACCAGUCCACUGCUGGCACCGCGCUCUGAGCUCGCUCCUUCGCCGUUCCGGUCGCCUUCCACUCCCCACCACCGUGGUCUAACUCGGGAACCAUCGAUGCAGAGGAUGUGUUUCUUCCGAGCGAUCCUAGCUCGUUCUCAUAGUAAGAGAAGAUCAGGACAUCAGAGUACAGGGCGUUAAAUAUACAUGAAUUACAGGAAUCUAAUGGGGAGACGGUACACAGGACUUACAAGGUUAAAAGUCUAAAGGGGGGUUAACCUUCUCCAGUCCAUUGCAGCCCUUUGACACCAGCAUAUCUCCAAGUUCUCAACUCAUCCAGAAUGCCAUCACAGAUUUGCAGGAAGUUCUGCACCUUGCCAUUGAAAAAACCUGUUGUUUCUCUCUUUCCAAAUAUGCCAACAGAUGAUCAUGAUUAAAGCCGCGUCUGCUUGUACUAGUCUGAUGAAGAGAGGAAAUCCACCAUUCCAGAAAACUUUGAGUGGAGUUGGUCGGCAUGAUUUGAAAUGGGAAACAGAACUUGGUUAAGCAGAAGCCCCACACCCCAGCAGCAAAAGGGCAAGAGGUGAACAGGUGAGAGUCAGACUCCCAUCCUAAUCUGCAAAGAGGGCACAAAGGUUUAUGAGGCCAACCCUUUUUGGCGAGAUUAUCGGCUGUCAGGCACUUCCCUUGUACAGCCAACCAGGCAAAGAAGUGCACUUUAGGGGGGAUUUUAAUUUGCCAUAUGAGUGAGCUCCUUGAAAGGGAACUCAAUCCUUCCCCAGACCUGACACAGAUAAGCAGAUUUAGCACAGUACUUCCCAUCAGGAUUCCAUUUCCAAUUUAGCACAUCCUCCCUUUCAGACAGCAAAACUACUUGAGUGUGGUGCCAAAGGUUGAUAAAUUCAGAAAGAACAUCAAUGUCCGGGUUGUGCUUUAUCAAAGAUAUCCAUUUACUGUUGGUGACGCCCUCAUUAACAGUGAUCUUCCUCUUCUUGGUGUGUUUAUAAAGAUUUGGGAAGGCAAGCGCUGGAACAUCCCCAUUCAACCAGUGGUCGUGCCAAAAUGAAACCGAUUUGCCAUCCCCCAAGAUGAAACAAGUACUAGCAAUAAACAGAGCCUUGACUUCCUUAUCAACAGGGAUCAAAAGAUCAUGCCAUGGCUUGUCAGUUUCUCUAUGAUUGAGUCACAACCACCUCACUUUUAGAGCAAUACCUUGCUUGUGAAGAUCAGGAUACCGAGCCGACCAAACUGCACCUGGCGAGUAGACCUGCGACCAUCACGCCAAGAACUUACCGCCAGUGAUAGCAUCCGCUCCUGCCCAAAGGAAAGCACGCCGUAGUUUGUCAAUCUGCUUGAUAAUCCACUUUGGCUGCUCCAUGGCAAGAAGCAAAAAGAUGGACAUGGCUGAUAAUACGAAGCGAACAAGAACCAACCACCUAGGAGAGGAGAUCCAACGUGCCUUCCAUGCAGCAAUUUUCUUGAUAAGCUUGUCCAGAAGCUCUUGAAAAUUAGUCAAUUUAAGACGCUUAUCCGAGAGGGGCAUCCCCAAAUAAGUACAAGGGAAGCUAGCAAUCUGGCAACCAAUAGCAAGUUGUAGAGGAGUGAGAUCAAUACCAUCACAUCUGGUUGGAAGAAUUUUACUUUUAGCCAUAUCGGUGCAUAGGCAUGUCGCUUUACCAAAGAGUUACAUGAUCUGCUAAACAUCAUUGAAGUCCUGUAAUAAAGGUUUGAUGAAGAUGAUAACAUCGUCUGCGUAAAUGGAGGCCCUAUGCUUGAUGGCCAUCUUGCCGAGGGGGGAGAGGAUGUUCUUCUGCUGAGCAAGGUCCAUCAGGCAACCAAGACAAUCAACGACCAAGACAAAAAGCAACGACCAGAGCGGGUCACCCUGCUUCAGACCUUUCCUAUGCAGAAUUUGAUCAGGGACCCGAGAAUUAACAAGAACUUUGGUGGAGGCCGAGAGAAACAUAGCAGAGAUCCACCCACGCCACAUACGCCCAAAACCUCUGAACAGCCGGAACCUCUUUCUGUCUAAAUGAUUUCGCCAUUGCUUGUACAUAAACGAGGUUAUCAUGAAUGCUUCGCCCUUUAAAAAAUGCAUUUUGGCACUGAGAAGUCAGACGAUGCAUGAAAGGCUGCAGUCUAGAAGCUAAGAUUUUGGCAAUUAUCUUGGCAAAGCAAUGGAGGAGACUAAUCGGACAAAACUCAUUUGGUUUAUUGGCCCCCUGGUGCUUAGGGGGGGGGGGUUAUGAUGGCACUGUUUAGCAGGAAUAGAUUUUGGGUGUUGAGGUUCUGGAAGUGUAAGACAGCACCGACAAGAUCAUUCUUUAUGAGAUCCCAGCACUUGCGAAAGAAAAGCCUUGUGUAGCCAUCCGGGCCAGAAGCUUUUUCAGGAUGCAAAUCAAAGAUGGCUUUUGUAAUUUCCUCCACUGAAAUGUUAUUGUCUAGGCAUGAGAGGUUGGUCUCAGGAAAGCAAAGAGCAGCAAGGUUGAGAGAGGCCUCUCUAUGUUGAUAAGAUCCCAACAAGCCAUUGAAAUGUUCCCAAAUACAUUGCUCUUUGUUUUGCUGAUCAGUCACUUCAACCCCAUUGCAAAUCAGGGAGGGGAUGAAAUUAUGUCUUCUUCUAGCAGAGGAUUUUAUAUGAAAGAACUUAGAGUUGCAUUCUCUCUCCUUCAGCCAUAUGGAUCUCUGCCUCCAUAUGCAACGAUCCAGAGCUCCAAAUCCCAGGCUCAUCACCUUAAGAUUGUUCCUGAAUGUAUGUUCUUCUCAAGUGAGCUCCCUGCAGUCCCUUGCACAGUCAAGCUGAUAGAUCAACUCAUGGACAAUAAGAGUGCGCAACCUGAUGUCACUGAAUAAGGAUGAGGCCAAAGACUGCAGUUUCUUAGCCGUCUGACUAAGCUUGUUGUGUAGGUUAAUGAAAGGAUCGGUCGAGCGAAUAGCCCCAUGCCAAGCUGAGGUGACAGUUUCAGAAAAACCCUCCAAGCGAACCCAAACAUUCUCAAAUCUGAAUCUCCUCUGGGGCUUGAAUAAUGAUUUGAGUGUGAGAAGCAAAGGACAGUGGUCAAAGUCAGCAGUAGAAAGCCCUUGAAGCCAGGGAUUAGGAAAAGCAUCAUUCCAUGGAUGGUUACAAACAAACAAGCACGACAUUUAAUUUCUCAUUGCACCAUGUAUACCUUCUGCCAUGCAAAUACAUAUCCUUCAGCUCCAGAGCAUUAAUGAAACCUCUGAAGGCGUUGACAAGCCCCCUGUUGAUGUUACCAUUGCUCUUGUCUGCCGCUGCAGCAAUUAAAUUGAAAUCACCCAAGAGUACUAGAGAAAGAGGGGAAUUCAUGCAUAGCAUCUGCAGGUCAUUCAGAAAUGAAAUCUUCUCUGUUGGUGACUGUGGGCCAUAGACAUUCACCAAGUGGAGAUUGACACCGGAUGACUUAAAAGUAUCAAAAUUGGCUAAAUUUACCGGUGGAAGCUGGACCACUAAUUCUUGCAGUCUUGCUUGGGCCGUUUUCCCCCACUUGGCCCCGUCUUUUCAAGGAAAUAAUGCCUGGCCUUCGAGCUUUCACCGUUCAAUUAUUUACUUUGAGUUCUUUGCUCAAGCAUCUUCGGGGAGUCAGACGAGGAUCCUCACGAUUGAUCUUUCCAGUUCACUGACUUCAAUCAGUGAUGAUGAAACAAGGGCACUUAAUGUAUUUCUUGAUGCCUUCACUUGUGACUUUUCACUUGGAGAUACAGCCAAUGCUUACUGUAGAACAAAUAGUGAUGGCAACAAAGCUGGGGAUUUCUUGACUGACCUUCAACUUUCGAUGCCAUAGGGUAAUGAACUUGACUCAGUGCACGGCAGCCGAAUCCUCUUUUUCCAAGGGGAGCUGCCUAGGAUCACAAUCCACAUAUAGAUGAUUGCAUAACCCAAGACGACAGAUUAGUCCAGGAGAGUUUCUAUAGUCAGUGUCCACUGCACCUGAAAGAUCUGAGGAGGAACCAAAAGGAAGGUGGUAUGAAUUGGGUGCAAAUGGAAGGAGUUUCAUAUCAGAACCAGUAGUAAAACCUCUCGAGGACAUUUUAGUUUUAUCACCCUCUACGGAUCUGCCAGUGAAAAUUAUCCUAGGCAGCAAAGGUUGUUGAUGCUUUUAGGGAGGGUGGCCAGAAAGAAGAGUAUCUUUUUACGGAAGUAUUACUUGUGUUUUGGGAGGGAAUAACUACUGGUGAGCCACUAGAGGGAUUAACAAAAUUUGAUGGAAGUGUUUCAAGUUUUAAGUGCUAAAUGACCUUUCUCUGGGCUUCAAGGGAAAGAAGUAUUAUAGGAUGGCUCGAUUAUCUGGUGAAAAAUAUGCUGGGGAGAUCACCAUGUCCAAACAGGAGGCAAAAGAUGAGUUAUGUCUUGAUCUACAGUCACAAGAUGCAGCAAACAUAGCAAAUCUUCUGAGACUUCAUCUUAGGCAGUUGGAUAACAACAUCCCAUGUAAUGGUUGGUAAAAAAAUCCCAUGUAAUGAAAUUGGCGCAUGACUUUGAAUUUCUGACUUCAUUUUAUAAGAAUAAUUUGAUUUAUUUGGAAA